rnacentral:tRNA from 1 species
AAAUAAGAAGCAAUUUGCAUUUAAUUUCGAAUUAAAAGACAGAAUAUAAUUAUUCCUUAUUUA